rnacentral:rRNA from 1 species
AUUGAACGCUGGCGGCAGGCCUAACACAUGCAAGUCGAACGAGUGGCGGACGGGUGAGUAAUGUCUGGGAAACUUCCUGAUGGAGGGGGAUAACUACUGGAAACGGUAGCUAAUACCGCAUACCAUCAGAUGUGCCCAGAGGGGAUUAGCUAGUAGGUGUGGUAACGGCUCACCUAGGCGACGAUCCCUAGCUGGUCUGAGAGGAUGACCAGCCAACCGGGAACGGAGACAGGGACCAUGGGCCUACGGUAGGCAGCAGUGGGGAAUAUUGCACAAUGGGCGAAAGCCUGAUGCAGUCAUGGCGCGUGUAUGAAGAAGGCAUUCGGGUUGUAAAGUACUUUCAGCGGUGAGGCGUUACCCGCAGAAGAAGCACCGGCUAACUCCGUGCCAGCAGCCGCGGUAAUAC